CCUACGGGGGGCAGCAGUAGGGAAUCUUCCACAAUGGGCGAAAGCCUGAUGGAGCAACGCCGCGUGGGUGAAGAAGGUCUUCGGAGCGUAAAACCCUGUUGUUAGAGAAGAAAGUGCGUGAGAGUAACUGUUCACGUGUCGACGGUAUCGAACCAGAAAGCCACGGCUAACUACGUGCCAGCAGCCGCGGUAAUACGUAGGUGGCAAGCGUUAGCCGGAUUUAUUGGGCUUAAAGGGGACGAAGGCGUUCUUUUAAGUCUGAUGUGAAAGCCUUCGGCUUAACCGGAGUAGUGCAUUGGAAACUGGGAGACUUGAGUGCAGAAGAGGUGAGUGGAACUCCAUGUGUAGCGGU
rnacentral:rRNA from 1 species